ACUCCCAAACCCAAUGUGAACGUUACCAAACUGUUGCCUCGGCGGGAUCUCUGCCCCGGGUGCGUCGCAGCCCCGGACCAAGGCGCCCGCCGGAGGACCAACCUAAAACUCUUAUUGUAUACCCCCUCGCGGGUUUUUUUAUAAUCUGAGCCUUCUCGGCGCCUCUCGUAGGCGUUUCGAAAAUGAAUCAAAACUUUCAACAACGGAUCUCUUGGUUCUGGCAUCGAUGAAGAACGCAGCGAAAUGCGAUAAGUAAUGUGAAUUGCAGAAUUCAGUGAAUCAUCGAAUCUUUGAACGCACAUUGCGCCCGCCAGUAUUCUGGCGGGCAUGCCUGUCCGAGCGUCAUUUCAACCCUCGAACCCCUCCGGGGGGUCGGCGUUGGGGAUCGGCCCUCCCUUAGCGGGUGGCCGUCUCCGAAAUACAGUGGCGGUCUCGCCGCAGCCUCUCCUGCGCAGUAGUUUGCACACUCGCAUCGGGAGCGCGGCGCGUCCACAGCCGUUAAACACCCAACUUCUGAAAUGUUGACCUCGGAUCAGGUAGGAAUACCCGCUGAACUUAAGCAUAUCAAUAAGCGGAGGAAAAGAAACCAACAGGGAUUGCCCCAGUAACGGCGAGUGAAGCGGCAACAGCUCAAAUUUGAAAUCUGGCCCCUAGGGUCCGAGUUGUAAUUUGUAGAGGAUGCUUUUGGUGAGGUGCCGCCCGAGUUCCCUGGAACGGGACGCCACAGAGGGUGAGAGCCCCGUCUGGCUGGCCGCCGAGCCUCUGUAAAGCUCCUUCGACGAGUCGAGUAGUUUGGGAAUGCUGCUCAAAAUGGGAGGUAUAUGUCUUCUAAAGCUAAAUAUUGGCCAGAGACCGAUAGCGCACAAGUAGAGUGAUCGAAAGAUGAAAAGCACCUUGAAAAGAGGGUUAAAUAGUACGUGAAAUUGUUGAAAGGGAAGCGCUUGUGACCAGACUUGGGCGCGGCGGAUCAUCCGGGGUUCUCUCCGGUGCACUUCGCCGCGUCUAGGCCAGCAUCAGUUCGUCGCGGGGGAAAAAGGCUUCGGGAACGUGGCUCCUCCGGGAGUGUUAUAGCCCGUUGCAUAAUACCCUGCGGUGGACUGAGGACCGC
rnacentral:rRNA from 1 species